rnacentral:tRNA from 1 species
GCUUAGCUUAGUUGGUAGAACGUCGGAACACAAAUCCGGCUGUUGUGGGUUUAAAUCCCCCAAGCG